rnacentral:rRNA from 1 species
UACGUAGGGGGCAAGCGUUGUCCGGAUUUACUGGGCGUAAAGGGCGUGUAGGCGGUUUUUUAAGUCAGAUGUGAAAGUUCGGGGCUCAACCCCGGAAUUGCAUUUGAAACUGGAGAACUUGAGUACUGGAGAGGUAAGUGGAAUUCCUAGUGUAGCGGUGAAAUGCGUAGAUAUUAGGAGGAACACCAGUGGCGAAGGCGACUUACUGGACAGAUACUGACGCUGAGGCGCGAAAGCGUGGGGAGCGAACAGGAUUAGAUACCCUGGUAGUCCACGCCGUAAACGAUGAGUGCUAGGUGUUGGGGCAACUCAGUGCCGUAGUUAACACAAUAAGCACUCCGCCUGGGGAGUACGAUCGCAAGAUUGAA